GACUAAGAUAUUAGCUUGCUAGUAUUUUAGUUAGUGGCCGACGUGUGAGUAACACAUGAGAAUCUACCUGAUAGUAAGGAAUAACCACCAGAAAUGGUGGCUAAUACCUUAUAUACCCUGAGGGGGAAAGAUUUAUCGCUAUCAGAUGAGCUUGUGCUAGAUUAGCUAGUUGGUAAGGUAAUGGCUUACCAAGGCGAUGAUCUAUAGCUGGUCUGAGAGGACGGACAGCCACAUUGGAACUGAGAUACGGUCUAGACUCCUACGGGAGGCAGCAGUGGGGAAUAUUGGACAAUGAGCGAAAGCUUGAUCCAGCCAUGUCGCGUGAGUGAAGAAGGCCUUAGGGUUGUAAAACUCUUUCAGCGGGGAAGAUAAUGACGGUACCCGCAGAAGAAGUCCUGGCUAACUCCGUGCCAGCAGCCGCGGUAAUACGGAGAGGGCUAGCGUUGUUCGGAAUUACUGGGCGUAAAGAGUGCGUAGGCAGCUUGGUAAGUUAAGGGUGAAAUCCCAUGGCUUAACCAUGGAAUUAUUCUUAAAACUACUAAGAUAGAGUUCGAGAUGGGAUAGCGGAAUUCCUAGUGUAGGGGUGGAAUCCAUAGAUAUUAGGAAGAACACCAGUGGCGAAGGCGGCUAUCUGGCUCGAUACUGACGCUGAGGCACGAAAGCGUGGGGAGCAAACAGGA
rnacentral:rRNA from 1 species